AUUGAACGCUGGCGGUAGGCCUAACACAUGCAAGUCGAACGGCAACACAGGAGAGCUUGCUCUCUGGGUGGCGAGUGGCGGACGGGUGAGGAAUACAUCGGAAUCUACCUUUUCGUGAGGGAUAACGUAGGGAAACUUACGCUAAUACCGCAUACGACCUACGGGUGAAAGUGGGGGACCGCAAGGCCUCACGCGAUUAGAUGAGCAGAUGUCCGAUUAGCUAGUUGGCGGGGUAAGGGCCCACCAAGGCGACGAUCGGUAGCUGGUCUGAGAGGAUGAUCAGCCACACUGGAACUGAGACACGGUCCAGACUCCUACGGGAGGCAGCAGUGGGGAAUAUUGGACAAUGGGCGCAAGCCUGAUCCAGCCAUACCGCGUGGGUGAAGAAGGCCUUCGGGUUGUAAAGCCCUUUUGUUGGGAAAGAAAUCCUGUCGAUUAAUACUCGGUGGGGAUGACGGUACCCAAAGAAUAAGCACCGGCUAACUACGUGCCAGCCGCCGCAGUAAUAC
rnacentral:rRNA from 1 species